AAUACCAAUCCACAAAACACUGUGAACAGUUGAUGGGAAAACUUUAACAUUGUAUAGUGUUUUUAAAACAAAACACUAUACAAUGUUUUUAAAGCACUAUACAGUGUUUUUGUGGAUAAAAACCAAUCCACAAAACCCAGUGAAUAGUUGGCGGGAAAACUUUUUGGAUUUGGGAGGAAUAAUACAUGACAGAUUUUGGGAGGUAUUUUUGGGAUUUUUUAAAAUAGGGGGUGACCAUUUGAGAAUUAUAAAAAGGGGUAUCAUCGGGGAAAAUCUCAAAAAGAGAGUAUUUUCCCGGGCCAUCCUUUUUUUUUCUGCUGCAUUAAAUUUUCUAUAAAAGAAAAAUAAUUUGAGAUGGCAUUAUAAGAUGGUCUCAUAUGCUACUUGCUUAGUCUACACCAACUAUCGCUCAUGACCCUUCCUUGAUAAGGAGGAUUUGAUGGACUUAAAAAGGAGAUUUCAUAAAGCAUCUUCCUGAAUACAACAAAAGGGAGGUGGUUGCAAGGGAGCAUCUGGUUUAGUAAAUGUUGACUCAGUGCUACAAGAAUUUUUACCAUACAGUGUACAAAUAGAAUAUUUAGCAGAGAAUGUGGCAAAGCUAUCACAUUAAAUUGUUUCAUCGAAUCCAUUGGAGAUAUGACUUUGUUUGAAUGCAUCUUUGUCGAAAAUGGUGAGGUUCAUAUUCCUAGUGUUGCACCUUUCUUGUAAUUUAACAUGAUUCUCUUAUGUUCUAAGGUCUGAUGAGCUCCAAACAAUUUUUGAUCUGGUGGGUGUUCAGCUACAAAUUUUUCUAUCCUCUGUCAGCAUGAUAUUAAAUGCACAUUGCAAUUAAUAUGUCAAGUUCAACAGCAAUUGAACUGAUUACCACUUGGCAUUCAAUCAAUUUUGUAAAAUGUACUCAUGGCCAUGAUGCAUUGUUCUAUGAAAGUUAGUACAUAAAGAGACCACCACUCACCACUUAAUCAAUAUGAUUGUUUGAUUUCAUUUUGAACCUUCUGGUGUGCUGGUAGUUGCAGCCUAUUCUUAGCCUAUUGAAGCUGUCUGGUCUAUGCCUGGGUAUGUCCUUUGCUCAUUUAUGUGCUUUACGGCUACCACUCCUUUGGAUUGAAUCUAGAAGCUACACUACUAUCAUCAGAAGCAUAAUUACUGUUAUGAAUUCUCAUCUUUCUGUAGUAAGUCUAAAAUUUUCGCUGAUAGGUGUUCUUGAAUCAUAUUGGAAGUUCAACUGUGUCUACAUUUUAUGAGACAGAGACAAAUUCCUACACCACUUAAUUAUUACGAUCAUUAGAUUUCAUUCUGAACCUUCUGAGGCCACAACAAUUUAUUGCUAGCAGUUGCAGCCUAUUCAUGGCCUAUUGAAGCUGUCUGGUUCAUGUCUGACUAUGCCUUUGCUUGUCUGAUGCUUUAUGUCCACCUCCCCUUUAGAUUGAAUCUAGUAGCUAUGCUACUAUCAAUGGCUUCUCACAUUUCUGUAGUGAGUGAGCCUAUAAAAUGUUAGUUGAUAACAGUUUUCCUACAUAAGAAUUAAUCUUUUCUCAUGUAUCUUUUGGUAUGUGAGUUGGCCAUGGGGGCCAUUUGUGAGAAGUGCUAGUCUCUUUCGAUCUUCAACAUAUGUAGUCAUAGACAUUAAAAGAAGAAUAAAGGAUAGUUUGAUACUGUUGCUUGAUAAUUCUCAUUAAUGCUGACUAUUAGGAAGUUUUUCUUCUGUGUUUGAAUUUUGAGAUUUUGGCAAUAAGCAAAAGGUAGGUAUAGGAUGCUUGAUUACUACUUUAAAGGCAAUAAGCAAAAGGUAGAUAAAUCUUCAUAUGUAAAGGGCUAAAGGCUGCGGACAUCUUCUUUAGAUGUUUAUUAUUAAGCUAUGUGGAUCCAGUUAAUGAUAUUUGAUAAAAUGAUAACAAUGAGGAUGGGUGUUACAUGAAAUCUAUCUAGUGGCAUCAAAUUUGCAGAAUGCCAGUACAUAAAGAAUAUAAUCAUAAUAUGGUAAAGCAACUAAGCUCUGUUGAUUGGAAAAGGCUUGGAUGAUGAUGAUGAUGAUGACAAUGACUGAUAAUGAUGAAUAUUAAACUAUUUUAUUUUGGUCAUUGUUUAAUUAUGUUUUUAAUAAAAAAAUGUCAUUUCUAUAAUGUCAAACGAUCUAAUAAUUCACAUCAAGAAUAGUUGUUUUAGAAUCUUAUUUGCAAUGACAUACUUCUAUAUCCAUCCUGAACAUCAUUGCAGAAUUUCCAACUGAAAGUAUUUUUCAUUUGCAGAAAUAAGAGUGCUUUUUUUAUUACUUCUUUUAAAUAUAUGCUCCAAACUAUUCUUGAAAAGCAUUUCUCUUGUCUCCUUGUUGUUAAACAAUUGACCACUGGUAAUUUUGGAUUGAUCAAUAUUUGCCAGAUAUUAGGACCCAAUAGUUCGGUGGCAUUGAAUCUGGUGCUAUUACCUUUCUUUGAAAAAGAAGAUAUUCACAUUUUUGCUCGAAUCGAAGGAUGCUGCUUUUCCAGACCGCUUUAUUCCUGGAAUGAGAUCGAAUUCUGCCAAAACCAUAAUUAGUGCUUACAAAUAUCAAAUUGAUUUAUAUAUUUAAACCUUCAUUUAUUUGGUUGCCCUGUAUUUUUGUAGGCUUUUGGAACGUGCAUGUCAUCUUACUCAUCAUGUGACCACUGUAGUAACAUACUUCAAAGAUGAGAAUUUUUAAACGUAUCUUUGAGAUUUUAUACCAGCACUUUUAGCAAGUUCAUAAACAUUCUUAUUUGUUACUCAUUUAAGUUUCAUUUUUCUCUUUUAUAUCUUAUUAUCAGUAUGUAAAAGCUUCAUGCAAUGAAUCCAGAACAACAAUCAGUUUUCAGCAGCGAAAGUGUUUUUUGUUAUGCAACUGAUGGGGACUUGGAGAUUUAUUCUGGGUUCUGUGUGCAGAACUUUGUUGUGAAGGAUCAGUUUGUUAAUGCAUGGGAAGAAUUCAACUCAAAAACCUUGAUCAAAUAGAUGAAGUUCAAAACCUUGUUCUUGUCCAAUGAAUUAAGUAUAUUUCACUUGUAUAUUUAUUCUUAGAGAAAAUGGUCCAUCAAAACAAAUUGCAUCAUGAUGGUCAUGUAAUUUUUGGCAACAGGAAUGCAGGUAUCAUGACAUUGGAUUGCUAGCAUAGACUCAAGAGUUCAGAGAGGCACUUACCAGUGGCAAGCAGACAAUGCUAGUUGUUUAUUAGGGCUUCAGCAAUUGUAGCAUCUGUAGUCGGUGAUAGCUAAUGCGUUGCUUGAAUCAUGCAAGAGCUUCACAUGAGAAGAAGAGAGCCAAAGGUAGCCAAGGACAAACUUGCCAGCAACUCGCAAACAAGGAGAUUUUGUUACAAGGCAAUGCCGGCAAGUCAUCCUUGGCUGCAUUCCACUCUCUGCCUCUUCAUGCAAAGCCCUCAGCAAGCAUCUUCAUUCCCUUAUUCCCCUCUAGCAGGUAUGCAGCCCUUUCCUCUCCAUAGCAGGUACGCAACCCUUUCCUCUCCAUAGCAUUCCAUCUUGCAACUUCUACUACGUGUUCUGGACAGAUGAAAGAGUUGGUAUAUAUAGGCCAGGGUAGUGUGUUGGUAAUUCAUGGAAUGUGCCUGAUCCUUCUGGUUCCUGUGGAUAGCCAAUGGGGUGAUACGGAGAGGAAUUCCCCAAAGUAUGUGAUACGCGCUGCCUAUUAGGAGAUUUCCAGUUUUGGUAUUAUGCUGACUUGCUGAGGUCUCAAAAUGGACAAGUGGUCCAAUCUCCAUUAUUCAUGGGAUUUUAGGCCUUAUAAGAAGGCUGUGAAGGUGGUCUGUGGGGGCGGUUUUCUUCUUGCGAUGUUUGGUAGGCUGUCAUGGGAAUAGAAUCAUGGGUGGAGGCCACACUGAGAUAUGGAGAGGGCUCAUGUGUGUCUCGUGAUUUCAAGGAUGAGUCGUAAGAUCCGCUUCUUAUUGACUCUGUCAAAUUUCAUAGCUUGCAUAAUUUGAAAGAGUGUUCCACUCCCUUUUCUGUACUAUUUUCUCCAGAUUUUAUGCAUUGAUUGGUUUAGUUGCCUUAAAUCUCAUAGGCUUCCUUAGUUGUCAUUGAGAAAACAUCUAAUGUAAGUGCCAUUGCUGCCAGGUCCUUUCUGUAGAUGCUUCUACCACAACCUACCAUCAAUGAGUUUGAUAUCCUUUUUUGCUUCCAGUAAUAUAAGAAUUCACAAUAAACUAUUAUAGGAGUUUUAUUAUUGGGUCAUUUUAGGUCAUCUCAGGAGAUCGUAGUUAAUUCCUUCAUUCCUUGGAAAGGUAAUAUAUACUUGAUAAUAAGGCGGGAGGUGACAGUGAUCAGUUCAUGAUUGGAAGGCCAAUUGUAGGAUUGAUCUGGUCGGGAAAAUCUUGUAGAAUUCUUGAUCAAUAAGAUUUUGAAUAAAUUGGAGAUCUGUCAUGGCUCAUCUGUAGUAUUUAGUCUUCCAUUUGUUUCGUCAGUGAAUAUGUUAUUUGGAUGGGCAUUUUUCUUGUCAGGUUGCGACUGAAGGGUGUCAUCCACUUGGUCCACUUGGACAAGUGGGAGGCUGAAUACCCCUUUGACAUUAAAGAGGGUCAUUGGAAAUACGUAAUUUAUUUCGACGAAUUUGAACAUCUUUUUUCGUUAGAUCUCGUGGGACACAGUCCUUUCCCACAGGCUAUUUAGGUUCGUCCAAUAUAGAAUUGCUAAACCCUUUUUAUUGCUUGUCGAGGAAUCAGAUUCUAUCAAAUAUAAAGGUUAGGGCCAGAAGUCUCAAUCUCUGAGACGUCUCUUUAACCUCCCACUUGCCUAAUUCUUUAACUUCAUUUCUUUUCGAGCUUGCCCCCUUUUUGGUGUUUUCUUCCAGUAAGAUUAGAGGACAAGUAGUCCAGCAUUUUAUAAUGCAUCUGUCAGCUAAAAUGUAUAUAUAUUAUAUAUAUUGAAAAAUGGAAUAGUUGUGUCCCUUAUAUCUUAGAUCUCGAUUUUUUUUAAAUGCAAUAUUUUUUAUUUCAAGAAAAAAAAAUACUACUCAGCUUAAUUCAUGAUUGGUUAUCUCGAUGAUGGAUGUUUAUAAAAUGUCAGAGUCGCAGAGUUAUGCAUCUUUUUGGCCCCAAUUCUGAAGAUUAAUUUGUGAAUUUGAUAUUCCAUACAAGCGCUGAAGACCUCUUGGUUUCGGAAUCAUCCUGCAAGUUACUUCUCAGAGAAGGCUAAUCAUCCGCCAGUGUGGCCACCAGCCUAAAUCAUUACAAAUAGGACAACACCUGCAAAAGAGGGAAACAGUAGAUCAUAUCCGUAACUUUGGUCGGGUUCACUGUCAAUGGUUCCUGUUCAUUGAAUUGCUCUGGUCACUGACGUAGUCAGGUCCUUCACAUGGCAGCAUAUAUUAUUACUGUGUUCUAUUUCCAAGUUGGUUCCGUACUAUUUCUUUAUUAUACGUGCAUGACAGCAUAUAUUACUUGUUAUUUCUUUAUUCUUCGGUGAAAGAAGCUUUUUUGGUGCAUCGACAAAAAUCUUUGCAUGGAAGUGCAGAGGAUAUGAUAGUUUAAAUUACUGGGCUUUCUGGUGUGCAGCUCAGCCAUUGGGCCUGUCGGCCACUCGAGUUGUACCUCGUGCGGGUGUGGUUCUUCUCCAGUUAGUGCGAUGAUGGGCUGGCCCUUCUCUUGCAGAGGAGCAUCGCUGGCCAAAUCUUGUGCUUGUUUUGAGGGCAUUUUGAGGGAGUCAAACGUUUUGAGCAUUAAGGAAGAACUUUAAUUUAAGGAUUAAAGGACAAUGCCAAAUCUUUAUCUCCCCUCUCCUUUCUGUGCAUGACCAAAAUCUCACAUUUCACCGGCUCUCCAAAAUUCCAUUGGCAAAUUUGUCCCAUUAGUUAUAGUCCAAAGGGUUGAGUAUCCUUAGAACCCCAUAACAGUGGCAGUAGUCUCUCGGAGGUCACAAUCAAAUCUUAGUUUAUCGUCCUUCUCCUUUUGGCACUUUUUUGUUGUUGCACAGGAUUAGAAGGGAUGCUGUGGCUGGUAAUGUUGAAAUGUUUUACUGGUAAUGUUGAAAUGUUUUACGGUCCAGCCUCACAGGUUUAAUGGAAAGUAUAUGGCUUUUGAUACAAGCAGGUUGGUCCAAACCGUUCCAUCGGAUCAUGAGAAGUUCGAUCUCUUUGCAUGUCAAGCUACUUCAUCUUUGGGUAUACUUCUCCUUUCCCUUUGUUCCAUAAGUGUCUUGUUUUCUACCAAGCUGUAUGAUUUCCAUUCCUCUCUUGGUAUUGGACUACUGCUAGAGUUCCUCGAAUUCACUGGCCUCUCCCUCCUUUGAAGAAGACCAAACCUCAGGUAAGCAAGGAUGUGGGAGGACCUUAGCGGAGUGCCACCGGUUACAGAAGCGCACGAUUGAGGGGGCCAAGUUCCACCUGUUCUCGCCUUCCACUGCCGCACUCUAGGCGGAGAUGCAGGACUGGCUUCUUGCCUCGGGGCCUGGUUCCAGGCCCAGCGGUGCUCGCCCGCUAACCCUUGAGGCCGGCCUCCAUCCCCCAGCCGUUCCGUCAACGGCGAUGAACGGGAUGGAGAUGUAACAGAUGUUCGCGUCGGUGGCGGCAGAGAGGGAGUCAUCAGAACCGGGGCGGAGGAAGAAGCCAGGCACGAAUGUAGCCGACGGUGGACUUGGGCGAGAAUAAGGGCUAGUCAACGGGUGGUUUGGCCAAUAGUCGCUACCGAGUUGGAGGUUGUUUUAGUUUGACUCGACCAUCAGAUUCAUGUAUAAAUGGCUGUGAUGGCAUAGUACGAAAUAUAAUGGAUAAGAAAAAGUAUUUAAAUAGGACUCCAAAAUCGUCUGUGUCUACAGAAUUGCAUAUACA